GGCGCUGCUUCCAGUUGUCUGAGGCUGCGAGGCGGCCACCGCGUCUGGAGCGAAGCUGAGGGGCUGCCCCGGCCCUGAGCGCCCGUCACCGCCUCCCGGCUCCCUGUGGGAAGACUCCAUGCCAGCAGCAUUCGGGUCUGGUGGGCGAGCUGACCAGCGCAGCCUGCCAGGGAAGCAGCCAGCCAGAACCUCGGGAGGAUGGAGCCGGACUGAGCAUCGUGGUUCCCUCACCCGCAAGCCCAAAUUCUCAGUCAUAAUCCUCGAACAACUAUGGAAGAUUCAUAUCUUUUUCAAUUGCCAGCAUUAAAAUAUCUAGACAUGGGAGCAACACAAGUGUCACUUGGACCAGUCCAAAACAUCCUCAUGAUGACUCUUGAAUUGGAAAAACUGAUAUUACCUAGGCAUCUCACCUGCUGCCUCUGCCAAUUUAAGAAUAAAAUAGACUCUGUCUGCAAAGUAGUCAAACUACAUUGUGAAUGUACCAGCAGCACACACUGCGAGGAGGAAGAGUCCAUAAGUACCACGAAAAGGGAGUUCAUGAAGGUUUUACAGACUCGAAAGAAGAAUACCAGCACCGAGCUGACCAUUGAACCGGAGGAGGCCUCAGCAUAGAGAAACAGCCUGUCCGUUCUCAUGAAUGAGCAGCUAGACUUAGGGAACAUUGCCUGAGAGAGAAGGCUCAGGAGGCGGCCCCAAGAGAACCAAAAGAGCUUCCCUUGGCGGAACACCCAGGAAAUGGGUGGAAAACUCCUUGAAAGAGGAGUCCUCCUCCAUCCAGGAGCACGGGGCGGUGGUGUCCACCACCUGGAGCAGUUCUCCAUGGGCAGCCAGCCCGUCUGCUGCCACUUCAAAAAUCCCAGCCGAGGCGAAAAACAAACCCAAAGACUCGAAAAACACGCUCCUCGGUUUGGAAGACGCAGACGCUCGAGUUCGGAACAUGAAGUUUCCCAGCCCCGUGUCACACACUGGAAAAAAUUACCGUUUUCAUAAAUCUUACUCUCGGCUUUGCCCAGAAUGCCCAGAGCCAGAGUGAGUACAGAGACGAAGGAAUCAGCACCCGAGAGGCCGGUGCGAGUCGCCAAGCGGCCUCCUUUCGCUGCGGUGAGAACCUCAUCAAGUCCCCGCCAAGAGAGGAGUCUCUGUCUUGGAGAGAUCAGGACGAACCUUGGCUCCAGUCCUUUCAACCUUCACACUCACCUGCAGGAAAGAAGACCGCAGAAAGCACGCAUGCUGCAAAUGGGGCGAACACCAGAGGCAUCGCGCUGCCAGAGAAAACCGUCGGUAGCAAAGGCACCGCCCAUGAGAAGGACGCCGGGAUGCCCGGCAACCUCGUGCCGGCUGUCAAGCAGUCCAGCGAGACGCAGUGGGAAUGUCACAACGUGGCCACCGACAUCGUCUCUGCCACACAGAAACCACACCCCGGAGACCAACUGGACAUGCAACUCAUCCAGCAGCUGUGGUCCCUCAUCCCCAACAGUGACGUGAGGAAGCUCAUUGCUCACGGGAUCCGGACUCUGAAAUGGACCGCUCUGAGCCCCAGGUGAGGCUGGCGUGUGCCAAGCUCCUCUCCGGAACCGGCCUCCUGAUGAAGCGUCUCAGUGAGCAGCAGGAAGUAAAGGUUCCCGAGGCAGAAUGGGAUACAGACCAGUGGAAGACUGAGAACUACAUCAGUGAGAGAAGGAAGACCAGGGUGAGCAGAACAGCCAGAGGCAAGUGAAGUGAGAAUAGAUCUUUCUUUCUUUCUUUCUUUCUUUCUUUCUUUCUUUCUUUCUUUCUUUCUUUCUUUCUUUCUUUCUUUCUUUCUUUCUUUCUU